GACAAACGCUGGGAGACUUGUUCUCCUAGAGGAAAGUCCUUGCUCGUACUACCUGAGAUGGUAGUAGUGAUCGUACUUAGGGAAUAAAUAACCUAAGGCAGUCUAUGACUGACGGCAGUAUGAAUCUAAGUCUUUGAUAUGAGGAAUACUGAAGUGCCACAGUGACGAAUCUUUUAGAAAUGAAAGAGUGAAACGAGGUAAACCCUGCGAACGAGAAACUCAAAUUUGGUAGAGGAGUUUUGUGUUUAGAAAUGAAUAAAUACAAAGAUCGAAAGAUAGAUAAAUGUUUGUCACCUAGUAAUAGGUACAGAACAAGGCUUAUU
rnacentral:RNase_P_RNA from 1 species